GAUGAACGCUGACAGAAUGCUUAACACAUGCAAGUCUUUGGCGAAGCUGUGCUUGCACAGCCUAGCCAAGGCGGACGGGUGAGUAACGCGUAAGGAACUUGCCCUGCAGUCAGGGAUAACAGACGGAAACGACUGAUAAGACCUGGUAAAGUCAGGCGGACUCAUGUCCAGCCUGAUGAAAAGAGAUGCUGCAGGAGAGCCUUGCGUCCUAUUAGCUUGUUGGUGGGGUAACGGCCCACCAAGGCGAUGAUAGGUAGCCGGCCUGAGAGGGUGGACGGCCAAAAGGGAACUGGGUACGGGCCCUAACCCCAAGGGAGGGAAGCAGGGGGGAAAUUGGACAAUGGGGGCAACCCUGAUCCAGCAAUUCUGUGUGCACGAUGAAGGUUUUCGGAUUGUAAAGUGCUUUCAGCAGGGAAGAAAAAAUGACGGUACCUGCAGAAGAAGCGACGGCUAAAUACGUG
rnacentral:rRNA from 1 species